UGCCUAUAUCAAAAAAGAACGAACAACACCUAAUUGCAUUCUGUUUAAGCUCAAUAGAAAAUAAGUAAUUAAUGCGACCAAGAAAGUAGUGCAGCAGAACUAUAUGUAUACUUUCAAACGUGGAUGACUUGAAGAAAAGGCUGAUGUUCAAAAAUACUUGAAAUGAUGAUAUUCAAUGUUAGCUAACAUCAAUGGAACAUAAUCUUAAACGUGUACGAAAAAAAAACAUCAGUAUUAUUACGCAUUAGGCCACAGAAAAGUUUGUGUCCAUGUACCUAUGUACAAUAAAUUGAAUAUAAAUAAGGUGUCAUUUUGUAGCAGAGAUGCUGAAAAAUUCACAUGUAAGUCAACCGAAGGGAAAUGAAAGUAUUUAUUGUAUAUAUUUAGCAAUUUAUUGAAUAGCAUUUUAUGCCACCGCUGAUUUUUUUUACGUCAAUAACUCAAGAGGAAACAAUGGAUACAAUAUGUGGCCUUAAAAAAGCGUACUAUUUUCGCAAAAAAUGGUUCGCAAACUUUCAUAGAAUCAAAGCGUUUGAAACAAAAAUAUUAUUAUAUAAAUAAUAAAAAACAAGAUAACAAUACAAGUCUUUCAAAGGUAUUCUGGAAUUAACGGAUGCAAUUUGGUAAAACUUGGUUUUGGCUAGUAGGGCACACCCGCCAUUGUUCGGACCAUCGACAGAAUAACGUUCGUGUUUUUCAGAUUUCUCCAUCCAAGACAAAGAUUUGCUGAUGAAUAACAUCGCAAAGAUCUUGGUGUAUUGUCUUCAUACUUGGCCACAACAACCCUUCAAAUAGACCAGACUAAACUAAAUUAACUUGACCACCAUAUUAACAUUCAAGAAGUUCGGCCUACAUGUCAGAUUUAUGAAUGUGAACAGCAGGAUAUCGAUUUUAAGGAUGCUUUAGGGUCAAUGACAAUGAAAUCACGAGAGAUAAAGGCUAAAAUGUGAGACUGUCAAUCUGACUAACCUUGAAGUGAACAAAUGGAAAAAAUGUCUCUUUCAAUAGCAUGGGCUUUUAAGGAAGAGGAAACAGAGGCGCUUAUAUGAUAGAACAGUAAAAGCAGGAGUGAUAAGGAAAGAUACAUGUAGAAUAAGAUGUGUCUUCAUGUCUGAAACACUAAAGAAAUAGAAAUAUUGUGGUUUUAUAAACUUUAAAAAAAAAAUUGGAAUAUCAGGAGACUGCCUGCCCUUUGCAAUGUUGGAUAAUGAGUUCUUAGAUGUGAUGUCGAAAGCCUCAUGAAUAUAGUACCAUGACUUAAUCUAAUUAGAAAAAGAAAUGACAUUGAGGAGAAAACUAGUCACUCACCAGUCUUUCACCAAGAACUAGAGAUAACUUUCCAAUAUUUGAAAUAUCAUAAUAUGUAUAGAACUUUAUUGAGCCACCAGUUUUUCACCAGGAAAAUAAGAUCACUUAAACUAUUUUUAGCUCACCUGUCACAAAGUGACAGGGUGAGCUUUUUUGAUCGCUUUUUCGUCUGGCGUCCACUUUAAAUGACAUCUCCUCAUAAACCACUGAGCCAAUUUCAUCCAAACUUCACAGGAAUGUUUCUUUGGUGGUCACCUCUAAAUAUUGUUCAUAGAACGCUGGUUGCCAUGGCAACCAAAAGAAAAAAAACUUAAAGUAUCUUCUUUUUUAAAAGAACCUAAAGAGCUAGAGCUUAGACAAAGUAUCUUCUUUUAAAGGUAUGAAACAUCUUCUAGUGAGUGUCUACCAAGUUUGUUCAAAUAAAAGCCCUGGGGGUCAAAAUUGGCCCCGCCCCAGGGGGUCAUUGAAUUCCCCUAUAUGCAUAUAGUAAAAACUUAAAAAUCUUCUUUUAAAGAACCAAAAUAGCUAGAGUUUAGAUAUCAAGCAUGAAACAUCUUCUUGUAAGUGUCUACAAAGUUUGUUCAAAUAAAAGC